AGAGUUUGAUCCUGGCUCAGAUUGAACGCUGGCGGAAUGCUUUACACAUGCAAGUCGAACGGCAGCACGGGUGCUUGCACCUGGUGGCGAGUGGCGAACGGGUGAGUAAUGCGUCGGAACGUGCCGAGUAAUGGGGGAUAACGCAGCGAAAGUUGUGCUAAUACCGCAUACGCCCUCCGGGGGAAAGCAGGGGAUCACAAGACCUUGCGUUAUUCGAGCGGCCGACGUCUGAUUAGCUUGUUGGUGAGGUAAUGGCUCACCAAGGCGACGAUCAGUAGCGGGUCUGAGAGGAUGAUCCGCCACACUGGGACUGAGACACGGCCCAGACUCCUACGGGAGGCAGCAGUGGGGAAUUUUGGACAAUGGGGGCAACCCUGAUCCAGCCAUUCCGCGUGAGUGAAGAAGGCCUUCGGGUUGUAAAGCUCUUUCAGCUGGAGUGAAACGGUACGCUCUAACAUAGCGUGCUAAUGACGGUACCAGCAGAAGAAGCACCGGCUAACUACGUGCCAGCAGCCGCGGUAAUACGUAGGGUGCGAGCGUUAAUCGGAAUUACUGGGCGUAAAGCGUGCGCAGGCGGAUUGUUAAGCAAGACGUGAAAUCCCCGGGCUUAACCUGGGAAUGGCGUUUUGAACUGGCAGUCUAGAGUGUGUCAGAGGGGGGUGGAAUUCCACGUGUAGCAGUGAAAUGCGUAGAGAUGUGGAGGAACACCAAUGGCGAAGGCAGCCCCCUGGGAUAACACUGACGCUCAUGUACGAAAGCGUGGGUAGCAAACAGGAUUAGAUACCCUGGUAGUCG
rnacentral:rRNA from 1 species